AACCCUUGUCAUUAGUUGCUACCGAAAAGGGGCACUCUAAUGAAACUGCCGGUGACAAACCGGAGGAAGUGGGGAUGACGUCAAGUCCUCAUGGCCCUUAUGGGUAGGGCUUCACACGUCAUACAAUGGUCGGUACAGAGGGCUGCCAACCCGUAAGGGGGAGCCAAUCCUUUAAAACCGAUCGUAGUCCGGAUUGAGGUCUGCAACUCGACCUCAUGAAGUCGGAAUCGCUAGUAAUCGCGGAUCAGCAUGUCGCGGUGAAUACGUUCCCGGGUCUU
rnacentral:rRNA from 1 species